AACGCACCUUGCACUCUCUGGUAUUCCGGAGAGUACGCCUGUUCGAGUGUCAUGAAACUCUCAAGCAGAGAUAGCUUUGUUGCUGUUUUUGCUUGGAUUUGGACUUUGCUGUGUCAAUGCGGCUGGUCUUAAAUGUAUUAGCUGAUCCUUAUGUGGUUUGGUUCUACUCAGUGUGAUAAUUAUCUAACGUUGAGGACAGUCUUGGGACUGGCCAGAGCUUAUAUUUGGAUCGCUUCUAAUUGUCCUUUGGACAUAUUAUUUAAUUGUCUGACCUCGGAUCAGGUGGGAUUACCCGCUGAACUUAA
rnacentral:misc_RNA from 1 species